AUCCAGUUCUCAUAAAUAAUUAUCCAUCAACAACAAUGUUCAAAACGGUUGAAGCACCCUCAGUUGUCUGUCAUUGAAAUACUCCAGCCCCUUCGUCUUUAUUAUAGAGCCCAUAGUCCAGGUGAAGUAUGAAAUGCAGAUAACUUUUGUGAUGACUGCGCCAGCCUUUAGGUAUCACUCUACUUUAUUCAUAAAAAAGAUGGAAGGAUGACUUCCUUGCAGAAAGAGCAGAACAUCUCAGUUUAAUCUUUUUUCGACUUGUUGGUGUUGACGUAGCGAGACGAUAUCUUAGCCAUCUCUCUCUUGAAUUUUACGGAAAAUACCCAAAACCAAUUUUCCUUCCUUUUUGAUUACCUGGUCUGCUAAGCUAGGCAGAGCUGAGGACUUAUAUAACACCAAGGGAAUAACGAAGUUAUUAUAAAAUUCAAUCCUAGUCAGAAGAUUCAAGUACCUCCAUUGUGAAAGUUGUAUCAUAUCCUGCAGUGUAUACCAAUUGCUAUUUAAUUCCCCAUAUUUUGUAUAUUCUAUACCUAAUAUAUGGACUUUUUUCUUUAACGUAAUAUCCUUCGUAUCGAAUUCACGAUGCCGUUCCCCCACUGUUGGGAAGAUUUGGCUAUCUAAUCAAGGACUUUUUGUCUAUCCUGUUUCGUUUUGAAAGAAAGGUUGCAAUAAUGUAACAACGUGAGAGAGGGAAUCAUAAUUAUUAAUGAUGGAUUUGUAUUAGAUGUGAGGAACUCAGAAGUCCUGAUUGAAACGUCUGAAACUCUUUAAAUAUCUAUUUCCUGUUAUAUUGUGAUAAAAAUGGGUAUAUUAUACUCUUUGUGAUUGGAAGAGGAGCUUACACAAAGUGCCCAAGUUCCUACGAAUUACUAAAUGAAUAUUAGUGCAAAAGUAUACUUUCAAUAAUAUUUAUACUGAAGAAAUCCUUCGAAAUUAUCAAACUUGUAAUACGCUUCUUGAAAGUACGACGGAAUUAAUUAAUUCAUUUUUGAAAUAUUAAAAUAUACUCAACAAAUGGUUUAUUUAGUUUUAUACAAAAAAAUCAAAUAAACUUUAUAGGAUCUUAGUGUUAUUAUUCUACAAAUACGAAGUUAUCCUCAUUUUUGAGGAAUUGAUUCAUUAGUGUGCAAGCCUAAUUUCUGGUUAGAUUCCCAUAUAAAGAUGUGAUUUAUAGUUCAGUAUACAUAAAACUCUUAAUGAUGAAAAAAUGCUUGACUUCUCCAUAAAUUAGAGACCUAAAAUUAAUGUGUUUGUAUUACCGAAAACAAUUUCUCAUAAACUGUGUAAAAUUCUUAAUAGGAAAAUGUGUAAAAUAAU
rnacentral:lncRNA from 1 species